rnacentral:piRNA from 1 species
UCACCUGGAUACGCUUUGGAUGAAGCCA